CAAUAGCGUAUAUUUAAGUUGUUGCAGUUAAAAAGCUCGUAGUUGGAUUUCGGGUGGGACGCAGCGGUCUCGCAUUGCGUUUGUACUGCUGCAGCCCUCCUUCUUGCCGGGGGCGGCCUCUCGGACUUCACUGUCUGGGGGUCAGAAUCGGCGAUGUUACUUUGAGUAAAUUAGAGUGUUCAAAGCAAGCUUACGCUCUGAAUAUAAUAGCAUGGGAUAACACGACAGGACUCUGGCCUAUCGUGUUGGUCUAUAGGACCAGAGUAAUGAUUAAGAGGGACAGUCGGGGGCAUUCGUAUUCCGUUGUCAGAGGUGAAAUUCUUGGAUUUACGGAAGACGAACAUCUGCGAAGGCAUUUGCCAAGGAUGUUUUCAUUGA
rnacentral:rRNA from 1 species